rnacentral:rRNA from 1 species
GAAUUUUGGACAAUGGGCGAAAGCCUGAUCCAGCAAUGCCGCGUGCAGGAUGAAGGCCUUCGGGUUGUAAACUGCUUUUGUACGGAACGAAAAGCUUUGGGUUAAUACCCUGGAGUCAUGACGGUAACGUAAGAAUAGACACCGCCUAACGAGGUGCCGUGAGCCGCGGUAAGACGUAGGGUGCAAGCGUUAAUCGGAAUUACUGGGCGUGAAGCGUGCGCAGGCGGUUUUGUAAGACAGAGGUGAAAUCCCCGGGCUCAACCUGGGAACUGCCUUUGUGACUGUAAGGCUAGAGUACGGCAGAGGGGGGUGGAAUUCCGCGUGUAGCAGUGAAAUGCGUAGAUAUGCGGAGGAACACCGAUGGCGAAGGCAACCCCCUGGGCCUGUACUGACGCUCAUGCACGGAAGCGUGGGGAGCAAAC